rnacentral:rRNA from 1 species
CCUACGGGAGGCAGCAGUGGGGAAUAUUGGACAAUGGGGGCAACCCUGAUCCAGCAAUACCGCAUGUGUGAUGAAGGCCCUAGGGUUGUAAAGCACUUUCACUGGUGAAGAUGAUGACGGUAACCAGAGAAGAAGCCCCGGCUAACUUCGUGCCAGCAGCCGCGGUAAUACGAAGGGGGCGAGCGUUGUUCGGAAUUACUGGGCGUAAAGGGCGCGUAGGCGGCUCUUUAAGUUAGGCGUGAAAGCCCCGGGCUCAACCUGGGAACUGCGCUUAAGACUGGAGAGCUAGAAAACGGAAGAGGGUAGUGGAAUUCCCAGUGUAGAGGUGAAAUUCGUAGAUAUUGGGAAGAACACCAGUGGCGAAAGCGGCUACCUGGUCCGGAUUUGACGCUGAGGCGCGAAAGCGUGGGGAGCAAACAGGAUUAGAUACCCUGGUAGUCCACGCCGUAAACGAUGUCUGCUAGAUGUCGGGGGGUUGCCCCUCGGUGUCGCCGCUAACGCAUUAAGCAGACCGCCUGGGAAGUACGGUCGCAAGAUUAAAACUCAAAGGAAUUGACGG